GGGGGCGUAAUGGUUUCGACGGGGAUUUAGACAAUAGGAAUAGCCAUCUGCGGACGGUGCCCGCGCAUCAAAACCGAUCCAAAAACAACUGACAACUCUUAUCAGUUACAAGCCGCGUAGUUAACGCAGCCGUCGGCCUGAGAACGCUCGCCGCCUCAGAUACCGGCGUCGAUUAGGCGAGGGAUUCGAGUAAUGUAAGCUUUGCCAUUGCCGAAGAUAUAUGAAGCUACCCGACCGCGCGUCUUGUCGGCUUGCCGCGCGUAAAGGGAACGUGUUGAGGGCGCUUGAUUCAAAUCAGGCGCGGUUUAACAAAAAUAACCGACUGUGAUGGGAGAAGUUCCUACUGCCAGAUUUUCGGACCCGGGUUCGAUUCCCGGCGCCUCCAUAA
rnacentral:tmRNA from 1 species